rnacentral:rRNA from 1 species
CCAAGACAACUUUACGGAGUUGACGAUUGACGGAGCGAAGCGACGUCAAAGCGUUCAUUAAAGUCGAGUUGGCUUAGGGAUACGUUCGUUGGGUAGGGGAGCGUUCUGUAAGCCUGUGAAGGUGUGUCGUGAGGCAUGCUGGAGGUAUCAGAAGUGCGAAUGCUGACAUAAGUAACGAUAAAGCGGGUGAAAAGCCCGCUCGCCGGAAGACCAAGGGUUCCUGUCCAACGUUAAUCGGGGCAGGGUGAGUCGACCCCUAAGGCGAGGCCGAAAGGCGUAGUCGAUGGGAAACGGGUUAAUAUUCCCGUACUUGGUGUUACUGCGAAGGGGGGACGGAGAAGGCUAUGUUGGCCGGGCGACGGUUGUCCCGGUUUAAGCGUGUAGGUGUGUGUUCCAGGUAAAUCCGGUUCACUUUAACACUGAGGCGUGACGACGAGGCACUACGGUGCUGAAGCAACAAAUGCCCUGCUUCCAGGAAAA